UACGAAGGGGGCUAGCGUUGCUCGGAAUCACUGGGCGUAAAGGGUGCGUAGGCGGGUUCUUAAGUCAGAGGUGAAAUCCUGGAGCUCAACUCCAGAACUGCCUUUGAUACUGAGAGUCUUGAGUACGGGAGAGGUGAGUGGAACUGCGAGUGUAGAGGUGAAAUUCGUAGAUAUUCGCAAGAACACCAGUGGCGAAGGCGGCUCACUGGCCCGUUACUGACGCUGAGGCACGAAAGCGUGGGGAGCAAACAGG
rnacentral:rRNA from 1 species